rnacentral:rRNA from 1 species
CACGUAGGGUGCGAGCGUUGUCCGGAAUUAUUGGGCGUAAAGAGCUCGUAGGCGGUGUGUCGCGUCGGCCGUGAAAACCUGCAGCUUAACUGUGGGCUUGCGGUCGAUACGGGCAUCACUGGAGUUCGGCAGGGGAGACUGGAAUUCCUGGUGUAGCGGUGAAAUGCGCAGAUAUCAGGAGGAACACCGGUGGCGAAGGCGGGUCUCUGGGCCGAAAUUGACGCUGAGGAGCGAAAGCGUGGGGAGCAAACAGG